UUCAGAAGAAAAAAAUGCAAGGAAAUUAAUUCAUUCAAUUUGUUAUCCUUCUUACAUUGUGACCCAAUACAAAUAGCAUCUAGCAAUAGAUUCUAGAAUGAACUACAACUUAGAAAAUGAGUCUAACAACUUAUAGCGUAAAAGACUAAAGUGACCCUGACUUAACCAAGCAAAAGACAUUACUAUACUAAUGCACUUAUUACUGGACUGCACUGAAUCAAUCACCAGGCCAUAUACUGCAACCUUACAGUCGAGUUAUAGAACGAGAGAUUUAGGAAUUGAAUGCUUUGAUUUUACAACACUCUCACAGUGAAAACUUAACAGAACUCUUUCUCAAUUUUUUUUCUUUUGCUUCGUUGCGUUCCAUUCGGUUUCAUCACCUAAAUUUAUACGUGGAGAGGGGGAAAAAACAAUGGACCGAGUUCCUUGCUUGUUGGCGCCACAUAUGC
rnacentral:lncRNA from 1 species